UAACAUAAUUUUACAUUUUUAUCUAGUCAUCUUAUAAGUAGAAUGGCAACCCACAACAAUAUCCUCCUCUUUACCUUUGUAGUUUUAUACAUUGUUUCCAUGGUGGUUGCAGGUGUACUAGAUGAGACAUUACAUUGCUUUCAAGGAAUAUGCCCUAAUUUCAACUGUGCCAAUUUUGCUCUGGUGCAAAAGGCUACCCUAGAGGUGGUUACUGUUUGGGGGACUCACAAUUGUGUUGUUGCAUUGGAGCUUGAGAGAUCUAUGAUUGAUAAUUGUAUUUUCUCAACAUCAUUAUGCAAUUUAGUAUUUAUGUUUUUUUUAUUAAAAUAAGAUGAUUAGAAAUCACUAUUCUAACUUCAUUUCAAUAAAAGAAUUCACUUGUGUCAA